rnacentral:rRNA from 1 species
GAUGAACGCUGGCGGCGUGCCUAAUACAUGCAAGUCGAGCGAAGCGGGGACGGGUGAGUAACACGUGGAUAACCUCCUAUAAGACUGGGAUAACUUCGGGAAACCGGAGCUAAACCGGAAACUUAUAGAUUGGUCCGCGCUGGAUUAGCUAGUGGGUAAGGUAACGGCUUACCAAGGCAACGAUGCAUAGCCGACCUGAGAGGGUGAUCGGCCAACCUGGAACUGAGACACGGUCCAGACUCCUACGGGAGGCAGCAGUAGGGAAUAUUCCGCAAUGGGCGAAAGCCUGACGGAGCAACGCCGCGUGAGUGAUGAAGGUCUUCGGAUUGUAAAACUCUGUCAUUAGGGAAGCGGUACCUAAUCAGAAAGCAACGGCUAACUACGUGCCAGCAGCCGCGGUAAUAC